CAUAGUGUGCCAGACUUCAGGGAAAGGAAUUGGUAUCAGAUGCAAAACUGGAACACCUAACAAGAAGAAACAACUUGAAAUUCAGUGCAUAGUUCCAUCAUUUGGACAAAAGUGACUGGAUCACAUGCCAACUAUGUUCCCCUGACCCGUUAUGAGCUGCCAACAGACAAUGGGACGGAGAGAAAGCCAACAUGUGAUGUGUCGGAGUCAUGGAGAACACUGAAUAUGGCCAUUUGGACUCAUUUGGUGAAGGACUGGCAGGCCAGCCGGGACAUGCUCUUCUCACGGUGAUGGCAAAGGCACGAGAGAGGAAACCCUAUUGCACAAGCACAUUACCAGCCCCUGUUUGUGUCAUCUACUAGCAUCCCAUUGGACAAGGAGAGUCAAAUAACCAAGUCCAGAGUCAAGGAAUGAGGAGAUACCACCUGCUAAGGUAGGAGGGCACAGCAAAGUUACAAAACAAAAGAAGUGAAUGUAUAAUUAUAAGCGUGUUCCUGGAGGAGGGAAGACUACAAAGAAUGGGAAUGAUCAUUCGGUCUCCUAUCCAGUCUUCUCCCAGGUCACAUUCUACCACCAAUUACCUAAUCCAUGACAGCUGAAGAACGUAAAGUAACUCCUUAAUACAAAUCUAGGUAAAGUACGACCGGAAGAAUAAAUCUGAUACUCUCAAAGUCUGCAUUCAAAAUCAGUCUUUAUUUUUAACUGUCCCCAUCACUGUUUACUGCUAUUGGAAAGGACAGUCAAAAGAAUAUAUGUAUAUCUUGUUAAUGGAGAUCCCCACCCAACAAUUCGUUCAGCCCUUUCUAUUUCUGGUCACCCAAAGCAGAUGUGAGUUGCGUGGAAAAAGGUAAAGGAGCUCACCAAGAGAAAACCCACCCACCAAACAGACUGUGUCUUUAAGUCAUACUUCACUUCAUUUCAUGUCCUUCCACUAGAAAUGCAAAUAUGAAAUGUUAAUCUUUUACACCAGCUUCUGAAUUCUCUCACCCAACUGCUGGGAAAGGAUGCCAGUUCAAGCAGGGCAGAGCAUGGGACAAAGACAUUAUAGAAGGUUCAGAAAACAAAACAAAAUGAAAAGCCAGUGAAAAGGAUACCAAGAGGUUAUAAACAAUUCUUGCUCUCUUCAAGUUCAGCAUGUCCAGCAAAAAUAGAACCAAAUAUCUCUGUUACUUGCAUUACAAGAUAAACCUUUUAUUUCUUUACCCCCAUUGUAUCAAAGGCUAGCGCCUUCAUAAAACUUUGAGGGGAAAAAAAGGUAUCCGUUGCAAGUGAACAAAGUUUUUUGUCUUUGCUUUGUUGUGUUUACUUAGUUAUGAGUGAUAGCUGAACAAAAUGUCUUCGUCUAGCUUAGCACUUUUUUCCAAUAUACCCUUAAGAACAGAGACUGAAAUAACAUGAGAGUCCCAGAAGUAUUUUGAGCUGAGAACGUAACAAAAGCUUUGCUAUGCUACAUAAAAUUGAGCCGAGAUUCACAGAUAAUAACAAUAAUGCAUUUCUGCUUCAUGCUUUUCAUCUUGAUAUGUCUGAAUUACCUACUCUCUUCUUCCAAACCACUUGGCAGAAACUCCCUCCCCCAACUCAAGGCCACCAAGGCAAUCUCUCAGAUUAGAAGGUGGUGAUGUUUCAUGACUAUAUAAACAAGAAGAAAUAAACGUAGUUCUCAUACAUAUGCCUGUAUCAACCUUCCAUAUUCUUCAUUUUACACAAAAAAAUAAUGUUGCUUUUAAUUUGAUAUGUAUUCCUAACUAAGAAAUCAGAAACCAAUUAAUAAAUACACUGUCAUGGAUCUUAGGUUAUUGCCCAUGGUUGACAUUUUAAAUAAUGUAAUCUUCUAAUUAAUAUUAUUUCAACCUCAUUUCAUGUUGCAACAAGUUAGUUCAAAAUGUACAGGAAGUCUACAUUUCUAAAUGGCUUUCUCACUCCCCCAAGGAUUCUAGAAUUCACUCUGAGUUUCUGCUAAUGUGUUUUAUCCCAGGA